GAAAGAAAGACAUGGACAUCUUGGAUGACAUGGGGACUUGUUUAUCCACUCUUGGGUGCGGAUGAGCAGGUAUCUUUGUCACCUGAGGGCGGACCCACACAUAUAAAUACAGCAGGGAAACGGCAAGUCCACACUGAAAGAGCAAGACAAGAAGAGUUCAGUUUUACUGCCGUAUUGCACUUCAGAAAAAAAUCUCAACAUGGGCGAUAAACCACCAAAGACGGAUGAACAUCAUUCUGAGAGCUCAGACGAUGAGGGUGGAAAGGGGAAGCAUGGAAAGGGCCAAGACAAAGGGAAAGGCAAAGGUCAAGGUCAUGGAAAAGGUCAUGAACACAGUCAUGGAGGUGAACAUGGGAAAGCAGGUGAACAUGGGAAAAAAGGUGAAAAAGGAAAAAAGUGAGACUAAAACUUCAAAGCCUGAAACAACAUGAUGCUCCAUGCAAACAAAAAAAACUGGGUUUCAGUUCACCUUUGCAAUCAAAUAAUGAAAUUAAAACACCUUGAACACCUUGUCUUUGUUUUUAAUCUUUGAGCAUGACUGUUUUUAAUGAAAUGUGCAAAUCAUAUCUGUUUGUAAGCAAUAAACACAUCAAGAUCAGAAUCUAAA